AUGGCGUCACCUCCGCGCGUGCUCCUCGGGCACACCCUCCUCCUCAUCUCCCUCCUACCGCUCCUCGCCUGCGCCGGACUCGUCCUCGAGGACGGCUACACCGUCUCCACGGUCUCCGACCUAAACCCCACCGGGACCCACCCCUACGCGCUCCUCCCGCGGCCCCGCGCCGGGGACCUCGUCCUCCUCGACUCCGCCGGAUCCACGCUCUACACCCUCCCCCUCCCCGUCUCCGCGGACGCCGGGCUGCGGAGGCUCGCGGGGGGCGCCGGCGCCUUCGGCCACGGCCACCCCCGCAGCAUCGCCGUCGACGGCGCCGACAACGUCUACGUAGCCGACCGCGCCAACGGCUCCAUCCGCAAGGUCGCGCCAUCCGGUUAUACUACUACAAUUGCUGGAGGGUACUCAGCGGGGACUGGUCACAGGGAUGAACCUGCACAGAAUGCUACCUUUUCGCCUGAUUUUGAGCUUACUUAUAUCCCCAAAAUUUGUGCACUGUUGGUUGCUGACAGAGGAAAUCGAUUGAUUAGACAAAUCAAACUAAAGCCAGAAGAUUGUGCACAUGAGAACCAGAAAGGCCUGGGAACCACAUCUGCCUCAAUCAUUGCAAUAUUGGCUGCGCUGUUUGGUUCAAUUAUUGGGUUCUACCCUUUCCAUGAAGUCUCCAUCAACCGCUUUUUCAGCAGGAUACAGAGGCAAUACAGGAGAACCCAGAGGAAGGCGGCACUGAUCAGCUUCUCCGACAUCAGAAACGCAAUUGCUAACUCCAUGCUUUCUACCGUCCUGCUGAAACUAGUUAGAGUUAGUGUUGGCUAUCUUACUGUUGUGUUACCUAGUAUUAGGCUAGAGCGAGGAGUUGCCUGUAAGCCUUCUCCUCCUUCUCCUUCUCCUUCUCCUCCUCUUCUUGAUCUAGACAUGGCUGGUACUACUACUCCUGCCAUUGGUCUUGACAAUGAAGCACUGCCUUCUACCGAGCUUUUGGGGGAUUUCGUCGGCUUCGAUGAUAGUGAUAGUGAUGGUAGUGCCAAUGAUCAGGAGGAGGAUAAAGAGACGUCGCUUGACAGGGACUUGUGGGCGCUUCUUGAUAACCCACAAGGCAGUUCUAAGAAAAUAGAUAGUAUGAUCGAGGCCAACUUAUUGGACUUUUCAGGCCAAGACAACUAUUCUGGAGUAAGUAGGAGGUUACAUGGAGGUAGCAAGGUUCUCUGA
rnacentral:rRNA from 1 species